GCUUACCCAGAUAUUACUUCAGCAAAAAGUGAUGUGUUUAGGUGGCACCAGGUCUUUUUUGAGGGCCGGAAGAGGUCAUUGUUGACCGUGCUGGGGGACCUGCGACUUCAACAAACACCGGCAUUGUGACUCGUGUGCGCAAAGUUUUGAGCUCAGACCGUCGACUAAGUAUUCGUUUAAUUUCCCAGAUAUUAAAUUUAUCAAAAUCUGUAGUUCAUGAAAUUGUGACGGAGUACAUGCGCAAGGUGUGCGUAAAGAUGGUCCAGUGUGAGAAAGUGAUCGCCAUUUUUUGAAUAAAGUACGAGGUGUGUUCAAAAAGUAUCGCGAAUCGUAACUGACGUAACUUCGAUUGCAGGGGCGUGGUGCAUCAUGAGUUCUUGCCACAGGGAAGAACGGUCAAUAAGGAAUAUUACCUGCAAGUUAUGCGCAAUUUGCGCGAAGCAAUCCGCCAGAAACGCCCGGAUUUGUGGAAGAACAAAAAUUGGCUUUUGCACCACGAUAACGCCCCUGCUCACAUAUCGUUGCUUGUGCGCGACUUUUUGGCCAAAAACAACACACUAAUGAUGCCGCAGCCACCGUAUUCCCCAGAUCUGGCCCCCUGUGACUUUUUCUUGUUCCCUAAACUGAAGAGGCCCAUGAAAGGACGACGUUACGCUUCUCUUGACGAGAUAAAGACGGCAUCGAAGGAGGAGCUGAAGAAGAUAAAAAAAAUGAUUUUUUGAAGUGCUUCGAAGAUUGGAAAAACCGUUGGCACAAGUGUAUAAUAUCUCAUGGGGAUUACUUUGAAGGGGACAAAAUAGAUAUUCAUGAAUAAAUAAAUAAUUUUUGAAAAAACACAAAAUUCGCGAUACUUUUUGAACACACCUCAUAAUCACAGGUGACGUGUCAUGGAUCUUUGAGUAUGUUUCCGCGAUAAGACGCUUACGACGACAAAGGGGAUCCAAGCAUCAUGCACCUUGGCUCUUAAGGUUAUUCCGGAGAGGGAGCAUUCUUUGUUUUUAAGGAAAUGUAACGAUUGGUUCAAUAAGUCCUUCAGUCCCAUUACUCUCCGGACAAACCCUGUAUGCAAAGAUAAACGAACACCCAAAAUGUAUUGUGUUCAAAUAAAAUUUAAAUAUUUUUUUUCAACGAAUUUUUCCAACAGAGUAUUAAAUUACGCAUGUCUUCUGCAAUUUCUUUCCCAUUAAUCAAUUCUUUUGAGUCUCAUAAUAUGGAAGGCAAACAAAUAGUUUAUAGCGGAAACGAAGAUAAGAUUGAGUCAAUGAAUUGUAAACUGGAUUAUGUCAUGAGUUCUUUAUGGCCAACAGUCAUUAGGCUCAUAAUUAUCACAGUUAAAACAUGAAGUGGAAACGCUAGAAAAUAAGAAGUGAAGUCCAGGAGUUAUCAGUAUUGUAUAAAUAUUUGAAUAGACCUCUAUGUUUCUUCAAUUGAGAUGAAAUUCUUCAAAAUCAACGAUAUGAGCACUAAGCUUUCUUUUAAGGAAAUGCGGAUUCCAUGGUUCUCUUUAAUGCACAAAAAAAAUCAAUUUUAAUGUAUAAUUUGUGUUAUUUACAAAAUCCGCCAGCUGAAACCAGGUACUAAAGACUGCGUAAAAACGCGAACACCCUAGUGCACAAUUAUUAAUAUUUCAAUAUGGAAAUUUAUUAAGAGAAAACUAUAUGUAUGGAAUCGUAUGUGAUGAAUUGAGCUGAGUUGUUCAUUUAGAUGCAUAUUUAAUGUGCAAUGUUCAUAUAAAUUAAUAUUAGUUUGAACCGGCUGCAAAGCUCAAAGCUUAAAAUUUUUGUCAACAAAUGUUGUGUUCUGUUCUGUUCUGUUAGAAUAAAUAAAAACCUACAAAGCAGAAUUAGUCUUUUAAAAAUCCUAAAAGCCAUUGGAAGCCGAAAGCCGAAACCUCAAGAUGUUGACAUUUGAGCUGAGCUUAGGCUCACUGCAGAAGUGCUCACUGCGCAACAUGGCCUACAUUCGGGAGUGCUUGUCUUUCUGCUUGAACAGAGUGCCAUUGCAUGCGAGGCAGCAAGUGAGGUUUUCAUAAAAAUACACACGGCACAUAUACGCUAUGUUUAGUAUAUAUACUAAUUCUGUGCAUUUGCAUUUGGAUAUGGCUGCGUGUAUUCUGUACACAUAUUUACAAGCAUUUAUUUAUGUAUUCCACUGUUGUCGGCUUUACAUGCCUGAUGACAAAAUGCGAAAUGCAAAAAUCGCUCGAAGUUCCAUGUACUGAUUCCGACCACCAAGCACAAAGCAAAAUUUUGAGUAGCCAGCCCUGCAAGAGGGAAGAAGAAGGCGAGUACCGAGUGUAUAAAUAAUGCUACCAGCAUAACAAAAGCCAGGACAAUGUAUACACAGCAGCUUAAUAAGAAAACAGACAACAAGUGCACAUGCCGCUGGUGUAAGCGCAUAAAUGCAAAUGUGCAAAUGUGUGUGUGGAGCAAGCAAAAGCGGGCUCUUAAGCCAAACAACCCGCAAAUGUUGGCAUAAAGCUCAAAAGCAACGCAAACUUCACUCUGUUGAUACACUAAACUCUCGGCUCCAACAAUUCGCCAAUCCUUUUCUUAGCCGCUGAAAACAGACAUCACUAGCAGCACGCAUGCCUACAUGAACACACACACACACUUGUAAUAUUGUGUGUAAGGCAGCUGCAAAUACAUAUAUUAGCAUGACAACUUACAUAAACAAACUCGUACUUUGGCGUAGCAACAUUAAGUCUGCAACGUAACAUAAUGCUUUGAUUGUUUUUUUGUGGUUUGUGUGGAAUCAAGUAUAAUUGACGUGCCUACCGCAUGCUCAGCUUUAAGACGAUGUGGGCUUAAAGGAACCUACGUCCACCUUCAUCAAUAGGCGGAUAUUACUGUGGAAUUCAUGAGAAAUGUCUGCUUAAUUUCACUUUAAGUGCCGCCCUAAUGAAUAUACACACUCAAAUAUAUAAGUAUGUGCAUAUGAUUCAUGCACAAGUAUGUUACUUUUAACAGUUAACUAACA